GCAUCCAUGGAGUAGUAGUUUAACUCACUCCCCUCCCACCUGGGUAAGGGAGAGACCCGGGUGCAAAUCCCGGUGGAUGCA